rnacentral:rRNA from 1 species
CAAUAGCGUAUAUUUAAGUUGUUGCAGUUAAAAAGCUCGUAGUUGGAUUUCGGUUAAGAGCGACCGGUCCGCCGUUUGGUGUGCACUGGUUGGUUCUAACUUCCUGUAGAGGACGUGCUCUGGGUUUAACGACCUGGACUCGGAGUCUACGUGGUUACUUUGAAAAAAUUAGAGUGUUCAAAGCGGGCUUACGCUUGAAUAUUUCAGCAUGGAAUAACACUAUAGGACUCCUGUCCUAUUUCGUUGGUCUCGGGACGGGAGUAAUGAUUAAGAGGAACAGUUGGGGGCAUUCGUAUUUCAUUGUCAGAGGUGAAAUUCUUGGAUUUAUGAAAGACGAACUUCUGCGAAAGCAUUUGCCAAGGAUGUUUUCAUUA